GUGUGUUCGCAAUAUGGCGUCUUUUUCUCUGUUUUCAAAUCCUUGCUGCUCUUUGCUCAGGUCCUGUGGAGUCCCACUGUCAAAUAAAAUAAUUGCCAAAAGUAGUUUUUCUUCAGUUUACUUCUUCAUCUGUCUUCUCCUUGGCAGCAUGAGCCAGUAAUGUUGCUAAACGUAGUCAGGAUUCCGGGUAACUCUCUCAUGACGAAGGAAAUUUGUCUUAAAUUCUUAAUUUCUGAGAUAUGGUAGCUCAAACAUCGCUUACCGCGACUGUUUACACGAGGUCCUGUUCUCCAGGAAGAUCUGUCAGAGUCUUUUAAACUGUAGAUUCUCACUAUCAAGUUUGUAUACAACAAAUUGAGCCUGAUUAUUGUGUCAUAAACUGUGUAUAAGUGUAGAAAACUGAAGCUUUUUACCAGUAA